ensembl:lncRNA
GUCUCCGUCCUGGUGGAUUAAGCACGAAUGAGAAUUGGAUUUCGGAACAUAUAGAAUGUACAUUUGUGCUUCAUGUCUUUCUGUGAAACAUCCCAUAUGUUUAAUACUGUAUUAUCAACACGCCCUCGUCGACUUACAGCACAAGAGAGCAGAUCUCUAAACACGGCCUCGGCGUUUUCCUCACCAAUUUGUACGCUCUGUGCCAAUUAGCUGAUUCCGUAAGAUUCGAUAUUCCCAUGCUGACACCAAUCUCGACAAACUUUUGGGAGGUCGGAAGGUCGGGGGUUCAAGCCACAGCACUUCCAAGCUGCCGCUGUUGGGUCCUCGAGCAAGGCCGUUAACCCUGUCUGCUCCAGGGGGCGCUGUAUCAUGGCUGACCCUGCGCUCUGACCCCAACUUCCUGACAUGCUGGGGUAUCCGAAUUUCACCGUGCUGUAAUGUAUAGGUGAUCACUAAAGACAAAUUAUCAUUAAACUUCACUCGAACUGACAGAGCAAUCCAACGACCCUCAUGCUGCAAUCCGUCGUACACGGAAAAGCCUGACCUCCGACACGGAAAAGUGCGACGGAGCGGUCAUUCGACUUUCAAUUCCCCGACGGGAACUCGGACAACGUCCACCGAGCCCCAUCUUCAUCAGAUUCCGAGACUAGCCAUACAAUUACGAUUACGCCCGGCGCAUCCGUGGGGUUUUUUUUUCCCGAGCCGAAGCACCGGAAGGCGUUUCGAUCACGGCUCGUGAGUACGCCGGAUUGCAGCGUUAAGCCGUGAAGCAGACGAGAGCGUGUUCAAAUCAGCGUCAGAACCUUCACUUUCUUCUGCUUUCCAUCAUUCUGUUUCUCUCAAACAAAACAUCUACUUCCAGAUCCCAACCAGCGAAUUCAAAGCAAGGCUUAUCCCAGCAAAACUCGUAUUUUUACACACUGUAACAAAGCAAAAUGUGUGUCCUUACUAUAAACUACUAUAGCAAUUUCCCCAGGAUCUACAUCUGCAGCUGUAACGAGUCGUUUUAUACAACAGUGAUGUUCUCAACACUGAG